AAAAAAAAGGGUUAGAGGGUGAUAAGCACAUUGAAAACUCUCUUCUCACCAGAAAAUUGAAUGUGGGACUUAAUUAAGUGAGUCCAAUUCUUUUAUAAUUAAUUUAUGUUGUAAGUUAUAAAAUAAGAUUUUGUUUAGUCAAUAAAUUGUGGACAUGGACAAGCAUAAGAUAUCAAACAAUGAAGGAAAUACGUAUAAAUUUACUUGAUAUAUUGUCUAAGUUGUGAAUCAAUUAACAAUGUAUUUUAUAAAAGACAAUUAAACUUUAGAAGAUUUUAUAUUUUAAUUUAUUAGGUUAGUCAAGCAAAAGCACACAUAUAAGCCUCCAAUCUUGACUUUUGGAGGCUUCAAUCUAGGAGCCUGUAAAUUACAAAGAAGUUAGAAAACACUCUGUUCUCCAUCAUUUUCUGUUCCCUCCUUCAUUAUCACGGCAAUAUUAGUCUUCCAAACUUUAAAAAAACAACAACAACAACAACAAAAAAGAGUUGCUACUCAAAAAAUCGCAAUACACUGGUUGCGGUAAGAUUUUAGAAUUGUGAAGAGAAAAAAAAUUACAAAAAGAGAGAUAUCCUCUCGGAGGAACUGAUGCUUGCAUCUUUGAUGCACAGCUAGUAGUACAUUUGAGAAGUUUUAAUUGAUUAGUUGCAAAGAGCCCCAAGUUAUGGAACAAAAGAAAUAUCCGAGACCUACAUUGAGAAGCUAUUUUUAUUUCUAUUUUAUCUUCUUAUUUCUCUUGACAUAUACCUCCACAGAUAAAAAAUGGGAUUUCUUUGUUUCUUAUUUUCUCAAUUUCUAUUUGUUGGUGUUCGGCCAUUUUAAUAUAUUUUGUUUAUUUAUUUAUUUAUUUAUUUUUUUGGUAACCUUUUGUCUUAUUCAUUAAUCUUAUUUUUUUUAGUUUGUUUUGUUCAUGAAUGGAGAUUAAUUGGAAGGUCAUGAGCUUGGUGGUGAGUUAUAUUUGGAGGUUUUGGGACUCUCCAUUUUCUUUAGUUUAAUAUUCAUUAUUUUUUUGGUAUAAUUUGUAAGGUCUUAGUAGCCUAUAAAUUAUUCAUCUCAUCUACUCUUUUCUAGACCAACUAUUGUUUACACUUGAGAGAUUACUAGCCAAAGAAAUGUAUUUUUUUUUUGGUGGAGUUUUGGGUUCACCAUCUUAUGUAGAGUUGGCCUGAACCGUACGACAAGUGGUCAAGCUAUCACUACAGGAAAUACGGGUUUUGGUGGCGUUUUUUUAAUGACGCUUUUUGAAAUGUCACUUUUUUAACAUGUAUCGACGUUUUAAAAACGUCGCAUAUUUCUUUAAUUGAAACGAUACCGUUUUGUAAUAAGAGGCGUUUAAAAGCGCCUCCAAAUGCGUUAGGCCUCACGUGCCUAUUUUGAAUCUGUGAAUAAUGGUCAAAGCCUUUGUAAACCCUUAUCAUUCUCACGCCUUCAAAUCUCACCUCUCUCAACCCUCCCUAAGCCCUUAUCAUUCUCACAGAUUCAUCUGUAUCUGUGAGAUUCAGAGCGAUUUCGAUUUCGAUUUCGAAGCUCCACCCCCACCAUCAGCGAGGUAGCGAUCACCAUCGUCAACUAAGAGAUUCAUCUUUGAGAUUCAGAGAUUCAGAUCAGUCUCAGUGAUUUCAUCUCAGAGCGAUUUUGAUUUUGAAGUUCUCUCUCUCGAUUUCGAAGCUCCACCGCCACCACCAUCUGCACCAACGAGGAAGAAUUGACCUUGGGAUGCACAGUUUGGUUGAUAUCAUAGGCAGUCGUGCAUUUGGAUUGGCAAUUCUUAGUGUUCAUGAAUACAUUGACGAUUUCAUAGUUUCUGGGCAAAAUGGUAUGUAUAUUUCUACUACUUCAAGAUUACAAGAAGAUACUUCAGUCCUAGGAUGACUUGCAGUGUUUUUUUGGCUGGUAAGGUAAGGAUUAUCCUAGAAAGUUUUGUGAGAAUUAAAAUGUUGUGAGCAGCCCUUGCAGAAAACAAAGAGGUAGUGGAGUUAGUCUCACCAUUUUCGAGUCAUGAUACAGAAGAAUAUACAACAUUAGUGAUGUUUUGUGGAUUUACUAAAUUGGGAAGAUGAUUAUGGAAGCUUGUGGAUGCAAUCAAAAGUACAUGUUAAUUGUUCUCACAAGUUAUUGUGGACGUCCUAGGUAACUGAUUCAGAUGUUUUCUCUUAAGUUAUAAGUUAUUUCAAUAUUAAUCGCGUACACCUUAUCAACAUGUUCUUUAGCGAAGUCAAUAUAACAAUAUAAACAACAGUGAUUACAAAAUAAAUAAUUUUUGGAAUGCUUGGAGAAUAAACAGCAGUGAUUACAGGCAACAAUACCAUGGUUUCAUCUGGUGGAAGCUUUGAGAUGGGUUUUUUCAGCCUUGACAAUUCCCAAAAUACAUACUUUUGGGUACCUUGCUCCCGAGUAUUCAUGUAUGGCAAAGUCAGCGACACAGUCGAUGUGUACUCUUUUGGAGUGGUUUUUCUUGAAUUGUUAUCGGGGAGGAAAGCGAUCACUUUUGACGCUGACAAGGGCCAAGAAAGCUUGGUCAUAUGGGUAAGGGUCUUUUUCUUUGAUAUGAAAAUUUCACAGUUUCACUGCCUGCAACUUAUAAGUUAUGUUUAUGUGCAUAUAACUUAGAAGAUUUAUAUUUAGGCAAAACUAAAACUAGAGACAGGAAAUCUAAGAAGCAUACUCGAUCUAAAUCUAGAAUGAAACAUCGAUAAGACUCAAAUUCAGAGAAUGGGUCUUGCAGCCAGGCUCUGCCUCACAAGAUCAGCUCGGCUUCGUCCUAAAAUGAGCCAGAAUGCAAGUUGCUUUUGACUUUGUUCUACUGCUGGGACAUUUGCUGCUAUUUUGGGAAUAAUCGGAGCCAAUUUUUUUGUUGAAUUAAUGGGUUCUUUCCAGGGAUUUUUUGUAUUUUUUUUGCUGCUCUAUUCUGGAACUUAUAUUCUACAGGAGAGAGAGAGAGAGA